CACUUUUCUAUUUGGUGCUUGUAGACGUUAUGGGAAAGUUGUCUCUCUCCCUACAUCUCUCUCCCUCUCCCCAUCCCUCCCUCCCUCCUCCUCCUCCUCCUCCUUCUCUUCUUCGUCUAUCAUGUGCUUGGGAUAUGCCCAUGCUUUGCACAGAGCAGCCGAAGCACGUCUAAUGCAGGCUACUGAGUGUUAGCGGCAAUUUUAAAGUGAUGCCUCCCCACCAAAUAAUACGGCUGGGAUAUUUGAGGGGAACAUAUACCACAUCACGGUACACACGGACCCAACUGAACACCGCUGUGCUUCUCCUGCUUGGGACGCUUUCUGCUCGAUUUGACUCAUCUUUAGGAAUGAUGGAGAAAAGGAGCUGUGGAGAACUGCAGGCAGCAGGAAGUAGAGGUCAACACCAGAUCUCUGGGAUUUUGCUCUCCACUGGACCCACAUGAGGUUGGAUGGAGACCUCGUAGAUCAUGACCCAGAAACAAAUGGCAUAAUGACCCGAGUCUCCAGAAUGAGGACGUCAAGGAAAUUCAGCUGAUCUCACAGGUAGAUGAGUUCUUCUAAUCAACUCAAGAGGAGCUUCAAGACGUCCACUCAUGAAUCUCACAAGCUGUAGGAGCUUCACAUUACUCUCUACAACACUUGGACCUGCACUGUACUCUUCAUUUCAGUAUUUCUGUCGACUGGUUAUAUGAGAUUAUUGACCAAACUGGAAAAUGUUGUGACCUUGCACUAAUAUAUAUAUAUAUAUAUAUAUAUAUUUUUUUUUUUUUUUUUUUUAAUAGGAGAAUACUUAAUAGGAAAAUAGGAUGAAAACAUUCUUCACAUUGAAACUUGUAUAUAUUUAAUGUAUUAAAUUGAUAAAUUGAUAUAUUUUUGACAGCUAAAUAAAAGCAUUUCUUUCCUUUAACUGAUGUUCUACUGUGAGUUAUUUCUGUGUAGUGCUUUGGCACUCCAGGUAAAGAACAAUGUGCUUGACAUAAUUGGGUCCUAUUUGGUUAUGAAAAGAGCACGUGUGCUGAUAAAAGCUGGCAGGGUGAUCAAAGCACCAUGCGUCCCGAUCAAAAUCCUGCACCUGACACAGAUGUAGUUUAUCCUGAAAGACUAACGAAAUGUGGGGAAAUAGCUUCAGACAGCACCAAGAAGCCUCCCUGUUUAAAACCAGCUCCAUUUCACAUGUUGUACUGUUUUUGGUGUACUACAGUAUAUCUGUCAAAUCAAA